rnacentral:rRNA from 1 species
UACGGGAGGCAGCAGUGGGGAAUAUUGCACAAUGGGCGCAAGCCUGAUGCAGCCAUGCCGCGUGUAUGAAAAAGGCCUUCGGGUUGUAAAGUACUUUCAGUCGUGAGGAGGUGUUAAGGUUAAUAACCUUAGCAAUUGACGUUAGCGACAGAAGAAGCACCGGCUAACUCCGUGCCAGCAGCCGCGGUAAUACGGAGGGUGCGAGCGUUAAUCGGAAUUACUGGGCGUAAAGGGCACGCAGGCGGUUAAUUAAGUUGGAUGUGAAAUCCCCGGGCUUAACCUGGGAAUGGCAUUCAAGACUGGUUAGCUAGAGUCUUGUAGAGGGGGGUAGAAUUCCAUGUGUAGCGGUGAAAUGCGUAGAGAUGUGGAGGAAUACCGGUGGCGAAGGCGGCCCCUGGACAAAGACUGACGCUCAUGUGCGAAAGCGUGGGGAGCAAACAGGGAUUAGAUACC